CAGUAGCCGCGGUAAUACGUAGGGCGCAAGCGUUAUCCGGAAUUAUUGGGCGUAAAGAGCUCGUAGGCGGUUUGUCGCGUCUGCCGUGAAAGUCCGGGGCUCAACCCCGGAUCUGCGGUGGGUACGGGCAGACUAGAGUGAUGUAGGGGAGACUGGAAUUCCUGGUGUAGCGGUGAAAUGCGCAGAUAUCAGGAGGAACACCGAUGGCGAAGGCAGGUCUCUGGGCAUUAACUGACGCUGAGGAGCGAAAGCAUGGGGAGCGAACAGGAUUAGAGACCCCAGUAGUCCCUGUCUCUUAUAU
rnacentral:rRNA from 1 species